rnacentral:rRNA from 1 species
GAUGAACGCUGGCGGCGUGCCUAAUACAUGCAAGUCGAGCGAACGGACGAGAAGCUUGCUUCUCUGAUGUUAGCGGCGGACGGGUGGGUAACACGUGGAUAACCUACCUAUAAGACUGGGAUAACUUCGGGAAACCGGAGCUAAUACCGGAUAAUAUUUUGAACCGCAUGGUUCAAAAGUGAAAGACGGUCUUGCUGUCACUUAUAGAUGGAUCCGCGCUGCAUUAGCUAGUUGGUAAGGUAACGGCUUACCAAGGCAACGAUGCAUAGCCGACCUGAGAGGGGGUUCGACCACACUGGAACUGAGACACGGACCAGACUCCUACGGGAGGCAGCAGUAGGGAAUCUUCCGCAAUGGUCGGAAGCCGGACGGAGCAACGCCGCGUGAGUGAUGAAGGUCUUCGGAUCGUAAAACUCUGUUAUUAGGGAAGAACAUAUGUGUAAGUAACUGUGCACAGCUUGACGGUACCUAAUCAGAAAGCCACGGCUAACUACGUG